rnacentral:snRNA from 14 species
GGAUGUGAGGGUGAUCUGGCUGCGACAUCUGUCACCCCAUUGAUCACCAGGGUUGAUUCGGCUGAUCUGGCUGGUGAGGCAGGGGUCCCCUUCCUCCCUCACCGCUCCUUGUGCGUCCCUCCCGAAGCUGCGCGCUCGGUCGAAGAGGACGACCAUCCCCGAUAGAGGAGGACCGUUCUUCCGUCAAGGGUAUACGAGUAGUUACGCUCCCCUGCUAGGACCUCCAAACAAGCUCUCAAGGUCCAACAUGUCCAGACAUAGCAGGUAUUUCUUAGCACUGCAAUGUCCUUAAUUAUACACACGAAUGGGAGGGAUACCUACUGAUCCUUCCAUUAAUGGAAGUCGUUCAUCCCUUCCAU